rnacentral:rRNA from 1 species
GACGAACCGUGCGAACGUUGUUCGGAAUCACUGGGCUUAAAGGGCGCGUAGGCGGGCUCGCAAGUCAGGGGUGAAAGCCCGCGGCUCAACCGCGGAAGCGCCUUUGAUACUGCGGGCCUCGAGGGGGGUAGGGGCGUGCGGAACUUCCGGUGGAGCGGUGAAAUGCGUAGAUAUCGGAAGGAACACCGGUGGCGAAAGCGGCGCGCUGGACCCCUUCUGACGCUGAUGCGCGAAAGCCAGGGGAGCAAACGGG